AGAGAGAGACAUGCGCGCAUAUCAAUAAGCGGAGGAAAAGAAACUAACUAAGGAUUCCCUCAGUAACGGCGAGUGAAGCGGGAAGAGCUCAAAUUUGAAAUCUUCAAGGUUCUACCUUGACGAAUUGUAGUUUAAAGAAGUGUUUUCUGUUGGAGUUUUGGUAAAAGUUCUUUGGAAUAGGACAUCAUAGAGGGUGAGAAUCCCGUAUUUGACCAUUAUUUCCAGCUUUGUGAUACACUUUCAAAGAGUCGGAUUGUUUGGGAAUGCAGUCCAAAAUGGGUGGUAAAUUUCAUCUAAAGCUAAAUAUUGGCGAGAGACCGAUAGCGAACAAGUACCGUGAGGGAAAGAUGAAAAGAACUUUGAAAAGAGAGUUAAACAGUACGUGAAAUUGUCAAAAGGGAAGCGUUUGACACCAGUGUUGUUUUCUCGAAAAUCAAUUAAAAAAGGCAGGAUUUUGUGUUGUAUUGACUUUAUCAGCUUUCUGCACUCUUUUCUUGUCUUUUUUAAUGCACUUUUCGUUUAACAAGUCAACAUCAAUUUCUUUUGUUGUAAAAGGGUCAUUGGAAGGUGGCUUUCUUUUCGGAGAAAGUGUUUAUAGCCUUUGGCCUCUGCAAUCGGAGAGAUUGAGGUCUGCAGCGUAGAUCCUUCGGGGUUAGAUACAUUUGUGCUAAGUUAUAGCCUUUCAUAGACAACUUGUUGACUAUGAUCAGUCAUGUAGCUUACUCGCUUAUGCUAUUUUACCUACGCUUAGGAUGUUGAUGUGAUACUGCGAGC
rnacentral:rRNA from 1 species